rnacentral:rRNA from 1 species
AGUGAACGCUGGCGGUAGGCCUAACACAUGCAAGUCGAACGGCAGCACAGUAAGAGCUUGCUCUUACGGGUGGCGAGUGGCGGACGGGUGAGGAAUACAUCGGAAUCUACUUUUUCGUGGGGGAUAACGUAGGGAAACUUACGCUAAUACCGCAUACGACCUACGAGUGAAAGCAGGGGAUCUUCGGACCUUGCGCGAAUGAAUGAGCCGAUGUCGGAUUAGCUAGUUGGCGGGGUAAAGGCCCACCAAGGCGACGAUCCGUAGCUGGUCUGAGAGGAUGAUCAGCCACACUGGAACUGAGACACGGUCCAGACUCCUACGGGAGGCAGCAGAGGGGAAUAUUGGACAAUGGGCGCAAGCCUGAUCCAGCCAUACCGCGUGGGUGAAGAAGGCCUUCGGGUUGUAAAGCCCUUUUGUUGGGAAAGAAAAGCAGCAGGUUAAUACCCCGCUGUUCUGACGGUACCCAAAGAAUAAGCACCGGCUAACUUCGUG